GCUGGAAAAGUGGAGACAUUGUCGAGGUCCGUGUGCGUCGUUGGGCGACCAUGUAUAUUGUGCGGUGUGAAUGAGUGUUACCAGAAGCUGCAUGGUGACCGUGUUCUUGAUCUUGCAGAGUUUUGACAGGCGGUGCUAAAAAGCUGCAUGUGACACGAGAGCCACGGGUCGUCCAAUCCUGGUCGAGUGGCGUGAUUAAAAAAAAAAUGUCAAGAGGAUGGUGUGUAAAGUACCACAAACCAGAAAAGUCAGACAUUUGGAUUCACACGAGUAUGAAAUGGAUUCCCUCAGGAAAAUAAAAGAUUCACAUUGACCACAACUGCCAGAGGGCAAACAUGCAGUAGG